rnacentral:rRNA from 1 species
UUUGGGCGUGUCUCCCUUCUCGGGAGACUCUCUCAACCCCCACGAACCCUUGACCUCAAAUCGGGUGAGACUACCCGCUGAACUUAAGCAUAUCAAUAAGCGGAGGAAAAGAAACUAACAAGGAUUCCCCUAGUAACUGCGAGUGAAGCGGGAAAAGCUCAAAUUUAAAAUCUGGCGGUCUCUGGCCU